rnacentral:lncRNA from 1 species
AACACGCAUAGUCCAACACACUGAAAAUGCAUCCACGCGCGUUCAUGCGGAUCACGCACGUACAUGCGGAGAAACACGCACCCCCGCGCGUAGGUGCGGGGCGAGACGCAAGGUAUGGCACACUGAAUCCCGCAGUGACGCGCGUGAUUUUGAAUGGGCCUGACGUGUAUAUUUGAAAAUGGAAGCCGCCGUGGUUGAAUCUACAAAACGCACCUACGCGCGUGAGUGCGCGAAAAACCCGCACGAUGAUGCAGAUCUGCACUCCCGCAGGCAAGCGCGUAGGUGCGUCGACACGCAAGAUGCAGCGUGAUGCGGGGCAGUGUGAAGAUCACCU